AGCGAACGCUGGCGGCAGGCUUAACACAUGCAAGUCGAGCGGGCCUUUCGGGGUCAGCGGCGGACGGGUGAUUAACGCGUGGGAACGUGCCCUCUGGUUCGGAAUAACUCAGGGAAACUUGAGCUAAUACCGGAUACGCCCUUUUGGGGAAAGGCUUGCUGCCGGAGGAUCGGCCCGCGUCUGAUUAGCUAGUUGGUGAGGUAACGGCUCACCAAGGCGACGAUCAGUAGCUGGUGUGAGAGGAUGAUCAGCCACACUGGGACUGAGACACGGACCAGACUCCUACGGGAGGGAGCAGUGGGGAAUAUUGGAGAAUGGGCGCAAGCCUGAUCCAGCCAUGCCGCGUGAGUGAUGAAGGCCUUAGGGUUGUAAAGCUCUUUUAUCCGGGACGAUAAUGACGGUACCGGAGGAAUAAGCCCCGGCUAACUUCGUG
rnacentral:rRNA from 1 species